GUAAAUGUAGUUUAAACAAAACAUUAGAUUGUGAAUCUAAAAAUAGGCAAUAAACCGCCUCAUUCACC
rnacentral:tRNA from 1 species